UCAUUGAAAAGCUUGUGUGAAUUGAAGGCUUGGCUUAAUACUGUGUUAUAUCUCAGCUUAUCAUUAUUAAGUAUUUACCAUUUGACGUUAAAAAACAACAAUACUUCACAGAGAUAUCCAAGUAUAACAGAGGCUUCCAUACUGUAGCUAAUGAUCAACAGAGAAUUACCAGCCUUUCUCUGUGUGUCAAGGAGAGCCCUUAGGGAAACGUUCGUGUGCGUGUGUGUGUGUGUGUGUGUGGUAUGGAAAGAUAUAAUUGCUUAAGUACAGCCUCUCUCUCUCUCUCUCUCUCUCUCUCUCUCUCUCUCUCUCUCUCUCUCUCUCUCUCUCUCUCUCUCUCUCUCUACGUAUUUUGCUUGUCUGCCCUCGUGUGUGUGUGUGUGUGUAUCUCAUUUAUUUAUUUAAGUUAUUUUUCCACAGUGAUGUAACGCCCUUAGGGAAACGUUCGUGUGCGUGUGUGUGUGUGUGUGUGGUAUGGAAAGAUAUAAUUGCUUAAGUACAGCCUCUCUCUCUCUCUCUCUCUCCAUAUUUUGCCUGUCUGCCCUCGUGUGUGUGUGUGUGUGUGUAUCUCAUUUAUUUAUUUAAGUUAUUUUUCUUCUUCACGCAGAUAGUAAUUGACGAACACAACACACCACGUGGAGAGAAGCAAGGUGUGGAGUACCCAAGCCUCUCACAGUCCAUGCUAGUAGACUCACCCUGCAUGUGGAGAUCUCCCAAAAUGCACGGAGGUUAUUCCAGAGCUGCAGGACAGAGUACUUGAAGCCAUUGGUGAACAGAAAGCUGAGGUUGAACAAAGCCAAGAAUUGAUAGCUGCCCAAGGUGUAAGCAAGAUUCACAAUGAUGAGGUCAUUGUGACGUGUGCAAUGUGUCCACUGGUCUUGGCCUUCCUGACCAAGGCAGCCACACAAAGGAAAUUCCACGUUAUUGUUGCCGAACGUGCCCCUAAAUAUGAUGGUCACCCAGUGGCAAAAGCUUUAUGUACUGCUGGAAUUGAGACAACAUUAAUUCAAGACUCUGCAGUGUUCCCCAUCAUGUCACGUGUCAACAAGGUCAUCAAAGGUCAUCGUUGGCACCGAGACGGUGGUGACCAACGGAGGCAUUGAGACCUUUGUUGGUGCAGCCUCUCUUGCCUCACCACCAAAGUUUUAUUCUGUUCCACUGUAUGUGUGCACUCCCACAUACAAAUUUAGCUUGAUGGGCUGUGAAGAAAUAAGCCACCAAACCACCACUUCUAUUAUCCCAGAGGGAACAAAGUUUUGGCCGUCUGUAAAUACUGCGCUGACUCAGCUAGAUUACGUUCCUCCAGAAAAUGUCACCAGUUUGAUAACUAACAAGUGAGUUUGUGUUGUUCAUAUGACUGUGUGGUCCUUUCAAGGUGUGAUGUUGGGGGUUCAUUUAAUUUUUUCAUUUGCUUUCCUUGUUGGGCCUGGGUUGACCUCAGGAGACAUCAGUAUUUGUCAGCUUUAUGCACAAACUGUUAUUUAGCACUGUACUUCAUCUCCCAGUAAAACUUCUGAUCCUAAAUGCAUCAAAUGAAAGGCCUUUAUGUUUUACUUAUGAGUGAGAUAAACAACUUACUCAAUUUAUUAUACAGUAAAAUCCCUCUGUAUUAUGUGGACAUAUGAAAUUAUGUGGACAUAAUUUCACUUCUAUUCAAGUAUCCGGCACUUCGGCGGUCCCAUUGAUGCCGGAUAAGAGGGAUUUUACUGUACCCUGUUUAUCUUGCACAUCUACUCACUUAGCUUUAAAUAAUGGCUGCUGACCAUUUAAAUCUCUUUUAUUUCAGUCGAGGUACUGCACCAUCCUACGUGUACCGGCAGCUUAGCGAACUGUACCGUCCCACUUCUUGUGUAACAAGAAGGUAACAGCUUUAAUCCUUGCAAAUAAGGAAUAAGAGAAAAGAGACACACCUGCCAUUUGUACUGUUAUGCUGUAGUGUUCUGUCAUUUUUUUCCUCUUUUAUCCUAGAACCAUUUUUGGUCAUUCAUGUUUCUAAAAAUUAUUAUACAAAAAUGUUGAGCUUAAUAUGUUUGGUGUAGUUUUUUGUAACAUGUGUUAUUGUUAAUGUGUGUGGUUCCCCUCAGGAAGAAUGUUGCAGUAUUAGCAGUAAUGUUACAGCCAAUGGAAGUGUCUGUAUUGUGCUUUGGUGGGAGGUUAAUUUGAUGUAUUUUUAGAGUUGUGCAGGAUAUUAUAGCAAGCCCUCAAAAUAAAGAAAAUAACUAUAGAAAACA